rfam:Canis lupus familiaris chromosome 4, whole genome shotgun sequence.
AUGCUCACUUCAACAGCACAUAUACUGAUAUUGGAAUGAUAGAGAGAAGGUUAGCAUGGCCCCCGUGCAAAAAUGACACGUAAAUUUGUGAAGCGUUCCAUGUUUUU